CCCCACCUCUCCUCUCCGGGCAAUUACCGAGCAUUAACAUGCGCGACGGCGAGGCACCGCGGACGCGGGCGGCCCGCGCGGGCGGCGGCUGCUCCGCCCACCCCGCCUCAGAGCCCGCCUCAAGCCCCUCAGCACCUCCCGCCGCUCGCCUCAGCCCAUCAGCUCCCGCCUCAGCGUCUCCCUCCGCCUUCCUCAGCGCCCGCCUCAGCCCCACAGCGCCCGACUUAAACGCUCGCCUCAGCACCUCACCGCCCGCCUCAGUAUCUCUGCUGCCGCCUCAGCGCCUCCCUCUGCCCGCCUCAGCCUUCCGGCAGACAGGUGAACAGAAAGGACCUUUGAACUGGGACUGAAAGGAGGAUCAUUGGAGUGAUGCGUUCAUCUUACAAGACCUCACCUCCUGGAGUCACGUCCUAGUGCAGUCAGGGAGAAUACAAAAGAAAAUCCAUGGCUUAAUCUUUCAGGACAAGCUUCUUCACAUGUUGAAAUCCACCGGGCACAUGUCAGGACAUGUUUUCAGAAGCCUAUCAGUAAGCUGAAGCCCUUUCCUGCCCCUGCAUGGAUUAUUAUUGUUUAGAUUUUGGCAGAACAUAGAGAUCCUUAUGAAGAUUGUGGCUGUAUUGCCUUAGUGGACAUUAUUCCUGCUGGAUUGCUAUGGGAUACUUCAGGAUCAACCCAAACAGGUUCCGGGUGUGCUGUGAACCAGGCUGUGGCCUGGGGGACUCGGAGCCGGCCCAGUUCCCAGAUGCCUGCACACCUCCUGGGGGAGCACAGCUGGCGGGGCUGGAAGCCCUGGAGAACAGACCUCCAGCAUCGUCCUGGUUUCCCGAGUCCCAAGUAACCUUUUACCUUUGCAAGGGGAGAAUAACAAAUGCUUAUGGAAUGGUGAGGGGAUGCAACAUGCCCGUUUGUUGGGAUGGCUUUUGGUGGAGCCUUUCCUUGUGCUCAGACAAACAUGAUUGGGAAAGGCCCUUGGGAGCAGCUUCACUCACAAUCUAACCCAGAGGAGAUGUCAGUAACUAACAUGUAUCAUGUAGUUUGGCUCGGAUAUGAGUAUGUAUAACCAAUACGUUAGAAGACUUUUCUAGACCAUAAGGCAAUAUUUGUUUUAAAAUUCUUUAUGAAACAUACUAAUGCUGACCAUUAUAGAGCACUCUACUGCAGAGGGAUCGAUGGCCUUCACACCACAGCUAGUUACAGUGAAUGGAUCAUACAACAUCCAGGGCACUUAACAGCCCAAUAUUGGUCUUUGCAAUUUGUAUAAAUCAGAAUGCCUUUUGCAUUUCCUGAGGGGUAGUGCCACAAGUACAGACAGAAACUACAAUUUAUUCUUCAAACAAUUGGUUUUUUCUUAAAUAAAAUAAUUGCAAUUGAUUUUCAUCUUUCUAUAAAA